rnacentral:rRNA from 1 species
UACAGAGGGUGCAAGCGUUGUUCGGAAUUACUGGGCGUAAAGCGCGUGUAGGUGGCUAGAUAAGUCAGUUGUGAAAGCCCUCGGCUUAACCGAGGAAGUGCAAUUGAUACUGUAUAGCUUGAGUACUGGAGGGGAUGGCGGAAUUCCCGGUGUAGAGGUGAAAUUCGUAGAUAUCGGGAGGAACACCUGUGGCGAAGGCGGCCAUCUGGACAGUCACUGACACUGAGACGCGAAAGCGUGGUAGCAACAGG